rnacentral:sRNA from 12 species
AGGCGCAAAAGCGGUUUUAUUGUGUUCAGAAGCAGUAUGCUGCCAGCCUCUGAAGGGUUUUCCGUAGACCUCAUCUGAACUAGGCGAAAGCCGAAAGAAAACGGAGAAA